GACGAACGCUGGCGGCGUGCUUAACACAUGCAAGUCGAGCGGAGCGGCGAACGGGUGAGUAACGCGUGAGUCACUGCCCCCCUCUCUGGGAUAACAGUUGGAAACGGCUGCUAAUCCCGGAUAGUGUGGGAUGUCUCGCGUCCUAUCAGCUUGUUGGUGGGGUAGUGGCCUCCCAAGGCGACGACGGGUACCCGGCCUGGGAGGGCGACCGGCCACAUUGGGCUGAGAUACGGCCCAAACGCCUACGGGAGGCAGCGGUGGGGAAUAUUGCACAAGGGGGGAAAGCCUGAGGCAGAAACGCCGCGGGCGGGAUGACGGCCUUGGGGUUGGAAACCGCUUGCAGCUAUGACGCGGUAGUGGCAGAAGAAGCACCGGCUAACUACGUGCCAGCCGCCGCGGUAAUAC
rnacentral:rRNA from 1 species